rnacentral:rRNA from 1 species
GGGAAGAGCCCAGCACCGAAUCCCGCGGCCGAUAUCGGGCGCCGGGAAAUGUGGUGUUCGGGAGGGUCCGUUAUCCCGAGGUAGUGCGACGCGUCCAAGUCCUUCUUGAACGGGGCCACAGCCCAUAGAGGGUGCCAGGCCCGUAGUGACCGUUGCCUAUCGCGGGAGGAUCUCUCCUCAGAGUCGGGUUGCUUGAGAGUGCAGCCCUAAGCGGGUGGUAAACUCCAUCUAAGGCUAAAUAUGACCACGAGACCGAUAGCGAACAAGUACCGUGAGGGAAAGUUGAAAAGCACUUUGAAGAGAGAGUUCAAGAGUACGUGAAACCGUUUAGGGGUAAACCUGAGAAACCCGAAAGGUCGAAGGGAGAAAUUCAUUCGCGUUUCGUAGUAGGCGUUCGGCGAACGAGCGACGGAAUGGCGUUCGCGUCAUUCCGCGCCUUUCGUCGGCACGAACCGGCAACGAACGCGUGCACUUUUCUCCCGGUAGGACGUCGUGAUCCGUCGGGUGUCGGUCUACGGCUCGCGGUGGAGCCCGUUCGUCGUCGUUCUUCGACGUACGAACGGACCCGCGUGUCCCGGCCGACCCGCUCGACGGUAUACGAAAGGUUUAAGGCCGCUCUCGGAGCGUUCGGCUCGCGGCAAGCGCGUCAGCCCGCGUCGGCGAUCGGACCUAGUGCCGAUUCCGACCUCUGGCGACUGUUGGCCGCGAAGU